AGAGUUUGAUCCUGGCUCAGGGUGAACGCUGGUAACGUGGAUACCGGCAUGCAAGUCAAGGGGGCCUUCGGGCAACCGGCGAACGGCAUAGUAACACGUAGAUACAUACCCUAAAGUGGGACAUAGCUCGUCGAAAGACGGGGUAAUUUCCCAUAGCACCGCAAGGUUAAAGACGCAAGUCGCUUUAGGAAUGGUCUGCGGUCUAUCAGCUAGUUGGUGAGGUAAUGGCUCACCAAGGCUAUGACAGAUAGGGGGCGUGAGAGCGCGACCCCCAUGAAUGGCACUGCGACACGGGCCAUACUCCUACGGGAGGCUGCAGUCGAGAAUCUUCCGCAAUGGACGAAAGUCUGACGGAGCGACGUUACGUGAAUGAAGUAGCCCUUCGGGGUGUAAAGUUCUUUUAUAUGGGAGGAAGUUAAUGACAGUACCA
rnacentral:rRNA from 1 species